rnacentral:rRNA from 1 species
GGAUGCGAUCAUACCAGCACUAACGCACCGGAUCCCAUCAGAACUCCGAAGUUAAGCGUGCUUGGGCGAGUGAAGUACAAGGACGGUGACCCUCUGGGAAGUCCUCGUGUUGCAUCCC